rnacentral:rRNA from 1 species
GAUGAACGCUGGCGGCGUGCCUAAUACAUGCAAGUCGAGCGAACAGAUGAGGAGCUUGCUCCUCUGACGUUAGCGGCGGACGGGUGAGUAACACGUGGAUAACCUACCUAUAAGACUGGGAUAACUUCGGGAAACCGGAGCUAAUACCGGAUAAUAUAUUGAACCGCAUGGUUCAAUAGUGAAAGACGGUUUUGCUGUCACUUAUAGAUGGAUCCGCGCCGCAUUAGCUAGUUGGUAAGGUAACGGCUUACCAAGGCAACGAUGCGUAGCCGACCUGAGAGGGUGAUCGGCCACACUGGAACUGAGACACGGUCCAGACUCCUACGGGAGGCAGCAGUAGGGAAUCUUCCGCAAUGGGCGAAAGCCUGACGGAGCAACGCCGCGUGAGGGAUGAAGGUCGUCGGAUCGGAAAACUCUGUUAUUAGGGAAGAACAAAUGUGUAAGUAACUAUGCACGUCUUGACGGUACCUAAUCAGAAAGCCACGGCUAACUACG